rnacentral:rRNA from 1 species
GGUGAACGCUGGCGGCGUGCCUAAUACAUGCAAGUCGAGCGAACAGACGAGGAGCUUGCUCCUCUGACGUUAGCGGCGGACGGGUGAGUAACACGUGGAUAACCUACCUAUAAGACUGGGAUAACUUCGGGAAACCGGAGCUAAUACCGGAUAAUAUAUUGAACCGCAUGGUUCAAUAGUGAAAGACGGUUUUGCUGUCACUUAUAGAUGGAUCCGCGCCGCAUUAGCUAGUUGGUAAGGUAACGGCUUACCAGGGCGACGAUGCGUAGCCGACCUGAGAGGGUGAUCGGCCACACUGGAACUGAGACACGGUCCAGACUCCUACGGGAGGCAGCAGUAGGGAAUCUUCCGCAAUGGGCGAAAGCCUGACGGAGCAACGCCGCGUGAGUGAUGAAGGUCUUCGGAUCGUAAAACUCUGUUAUUAGGGAAGAACAAAUGUGUAAGUAACUAUGCACGUCUUGACGGUACCUAAUCAGAAAGCCACGGCUAACUACGUG